AAAUUGAAGAGUUUGAUCAUGGCUCAGAUUGAACGCUGGCGGCAGGCCUAACACAUGCAAGUCGAACGGUAACAGAAAGCAGCUUGCUGCUUUGCUGACGAGUGGCGGACGGGUGAGUAAUGUCUGGGAAACUGCCUGAUGGAGGGGGAUAACUACUGGAAACGGUAGCUAAUACCGCAUAACGUCGCAAGACCAAAGAGGGGGACCUUCGGGCCUCUUGCCAU
rnacentral:rRNA from 2 species